rnacentral:ncRNA from 1 species
CCUGCUAUACGACUAGCAGUAGCCUAGGAGGACAUGCGUCACUGGCAACGGUGGGGUUUGAAGCUCCUCUGACAAUGUGGCCCCCGGAGGUUUCGGGCAGAUUAACUCCGUGGGGAGGUGAUCUGGAUACUCGUAGCAGCACAACGGGUUGAGGAG